GUCUUCGUGGCUCAGAUGGUCAGAGCGUUGGUCUCAUAGAAAUAUGACCUGAUCAAUAGGUUAGGAUAUCCAAAGGUCGCGAGUUCGAGCCUCGCCGAAGGCA